rnacentral:rRNA from 1 species
GCCCUUAGAUGUCCUGGGCCGCACGCGCGUUACACUGAUGCAUUCAACGAGCUUAUAACCUUGGCCGAGAGGCCUGGGCAAUCUUGUUAACGUGCAUCGUGAUAGGGAUAGAUUAUUGAAAUUAUUAAUCUUGAACGAGGAAUUCCUAGUAAACGCAGAUCAUCAAUCUGCAUUGAUUACGUCCCUGCCCUUUGUACACACCGCCCGUCGCACCUACCGAUUGGAUGGUCCGGUGAAGCCUCGGGAUUGUGGUUCUUGCCGCUUUAUUGUGGCGUGACCGCGAGAACUUGUCUAAACCUUAUCAUCUAGAGGAAGGUGAAGUCGUAACA